GAUGAACACUAGCGGCAGGCUUAAUACAUGCAAGUCGAGGGGUAGCAAGAUUGUAGCAAUACAAUUGUUGACGACCGGCAAACGGGUGCGGAACACGUACACAACCUUCCUACAAGUGGGGAAUAGCCCAGAGAAAUUUGGAUUAAUACCCCGUAACAUAGCGAUGUGGCAUCACAUUGCUAUUAUAGCUUCGGCGCUUGUUGAUGGGUGUGCGGCUGAUUAGAUAGUUGGCGGGGUAACGGCCCACCAAGUCUACGAUCAGUAGCUGAUGUGAGAGCAUGAUCAGUCACACGGGCACUGAGACACGGGCCCGACUCCUACGGGAGGCAGCAGUAAGGAAUAUUGGACAAUGGACGCAAGUCUGAUCCAGCCAUGCCGCGUGAAGGAUUAAGGUCCUCUGGAUUGUAAACUUCUUUUAUAAGGGACGAAAAAAGGUCUUUCUAGAUCGUCUGACGGUACCUUAUGAAUAAGCACCGGCUAACUCCGUGCCAGCCGCCGCAGUAAGAC
rnacentral:rRNA from 1 species